ACACGUGUAAGCAACGUUAGUCCAUCCGAAAAGAGCAUUUUGCACGCCAUCGCUUGGGCAAAUCAAACCCCGCUUCAGGCCACCCCUGCCUGUUGUGUGCCUGUUGGCAUCUGCCCUGCUGGCCUGUGCCAGUGUCCGCACCAGCUCCACCUGCCGCAGCUCAGCCCUCUCUUCAGCCUCGAUAGUCCAUGGCUUAAGCCCUUGGAAGUCCUAUUGUGUUCAGAGGAUUUUGGAUCACCAGCAGCAGUACUGCACAGGAACUGUCCUCAGCAGUGUCCUGCGCUAACAAAGCCAGAAAUGUUGCCGGAUUGCUAAAGGAUUGUAUUACAAAAUCCAUAGACAAAGUGUAAUCGCAUGCUGAAAGUCGUAACUCUGACCUAGUAUACAGUUCCAGAAGGAGCUUACUUCAGUGAUUGUCUGCCAUGAUCCUCAGCUUUGUUUAAACCACACAGUGGACCUGACUGCUCCCUGAAUCUUAAAACCAGGGAAUAAUUUACAUGAACAAGAUGAAGACCAGAAAAGGCCCUGACUCUGUGGAUCCACAUGGCACAGUGUCCUAUCUAUAAGGAAAUCCUUUAGAGACCGGCAUAAUAGACUGCCAGCAUCAACAGCCAAAGGAACCCUUCCCUUUAGCCUCUGAAAACACCUGAAACCUU